rnacentral:sRNA from 1 species
GUUUCUGCCCUGUCAGGUCAAAGCAUUCAGCAGGGCCGCCUCCCGCACCCCUGCUCACAUCUCCUGCCAGGCCCCCUCACUCCCAGCCUCCCCAAAGCCCACCUCUGACAUGAAGCUUCCCUGAGCUGAGCCUGCAGAUUGGGUUUCUUGUGCCUGUGGGAUGUCCUGUGGUCUUUCCUGGACAGUAAGCUCUUUGGUACCAUGUCCCCUCCUGUCGCCUCUUGUGUCACCCAGUUGGGCCUCAGCAGGCCCUUGGGCCCCCUAUGGCAGUGGGUGGGGGGACCGUCUGCUCCCACCUGGGACCUGUGCUCAGUCCCCCGCCCCUCCACAGCACUGCUUCAUGAUGCCCCAGUCCCUGGGCGUCAUCGGAGGGAAGCCCAACAGCGCCCACUACUUCAUCGGCUACGUUGGUGAGGAGCUCAUCUACCUGGACCCCCACACCACGCAGCCAGCCGUGGAGCCCACUGACGGCUGCUUCAUCCCGGACGAGAGCUUCCACUGCCAGCACCCGCCGUGCCGCAUGAGCAUCGCGGAGCUUGACCCGUCCAUUGCUGUGGGGUUUUUCUGUAAGACUGAAGAUGACUUCAGUGAUUGGUGCCAGCAAGUCAAAAAGCUGUCUCUGCUCGGAGGUGCCCUGCCCAUGUUUGAGCUGGUGGAGCAGCAGCCUUCACAUCUGGCCUGCCCCGACGUCCUGAACCUGUCCCUAGGUGAGAGCUGCCAAGUCCAGGUGGGGUCCCUCGGAGGUACGAUCUGUGCCCUUGCUUCCCCAGUCCUGGCCCCCUUGGUUUUGACCAUUAAGGUGUGUGUGAGCCUGAGCCAUGAGCACUUGGCAGUGGUUCGCCUGUGAGACCAGGUGUGGAGCGGAGCGUCC